rnacentral:rRNA from 1 species
AACGAACGCUGGCGGCAGGCUUAACACAUGCAAGUCGAACGCAUCGCAAGAUGAGUGGCAGACGGGUGAGUAACGCGUGGGAACAUACCCUUUUCUACGGAAUAGCUCUGGGAAACUGGAAUUAAUACCGUAUACGCCCUACGGGGGAAAGAUUUAUCGGGGAAGGAUUGGCCCGCGUUGGGUUAGCUAGUUGGUGGGGUAAAGGCCUACCAAGGCGACGAUCCAUAGCUGGUCUGAGAGGAUGAUCCGCCACAUUGGGACUGAGACACGGCCCAAACUCCUAAGGGAGGCAGCAGUGGGGAAUAUUGGACAAUGGGCGCAAGCCUGAUCCAGCCAUGCCGCGUGAGUGAUGAAGGCCUUAGGGUUGUAAAGCUCUUUCACCGAUGAAGAUAAUGACGGUAGUCGGAGAAGAAGCCCCGGCUAACUUCGUGCCAGCCGCCGCAGUAAAAC